rnacentral:rRNA from 1 species
UACAGAGGUCUCAAGCGUUGUUCGGAUUCAUUGGGCGUAAAGGGUGCGUAGGUGGCGCGGUAAGUCGGGUGUGAAAUCUCGGAGCUUAACUCCGAAAUUGCAUUCGAUACUGCCGUGCUCGAGGACUGGAGAGGAGACUGGAAUUCAUGGUGUAGCAGUGAAAUGCGUAGAGAUCAUGAGGAAGACCAGUGGCGAAGGCGGGUCUCUGGGCAACUCCUGACACUGAUGCACGAAAGCUAGGGGAGCAAACAGG